UACGGAGGGGACUAGCGUUGUUCGGAAUUACUGGGCGUAAAGCGCACGUAGGCGGAUUAGUAAGUCAGAGGUGAAAUCCCAGGGCUCAACCCUGGAACUGCCUUUGAUACUGCUAGUCUUGAGUUCGAGAGAGGUGAGUGGAAUUCCGAGUGUAGAGGUGAAAUUCGUAGAGAUUCGGAGGAGCACCAGUGGCGAAGGAGGCUCACUGGGUCGAUACUGACGCUGAGGUGCGAAAGUGUGGGGAGCAAACAGG
rnacentral:misc_RNA from 1 species